rnacentral:lncRNA from 1 species
UGGACCCAGGAGCCUCUGCAUAUUUGCUCUGCGUCAGUUGCUGGCUCUGUGUGCGUUCCCACUGACUUUUGUAGAUGCAAUCUGACAAGGCCCUGUUUCCAAGAUGGCUGUCAUCUUCCAUCCUGGGGAUUCCCUGUUGAUGCUGACCUACUCAGUGCCUGUGUAGAAGCAACCAGGAAGUGAGGAGUUAUUGUCCCAUGGAGGAAACCUUUGUCCAAUGGGAAGUGGGAACCAGUGGAUAAAAUCUUCCCUCUUCCUCUCCUUGGACAGCCAGUCCUGAGAUGCAGUCAUUCAUGUGGCCUCUUGGAAGAUGGAGCAAUCAAUCACGCCUGACCCCAAGGGGAAGCCAGCUUUGUAAUGCACCACUGUAUUUGCUUUCUUUCCUUCCCUGCCUUGCUUUCUUUUCCUUUGAUAUUUGGAGAACAAAAGAAGAAGGUAGAUCCAGGAAAGCUGAUGGAGAAGGAGGCAGAGAAGUAGAAGGAAAGCCAGGAGAAAGCAACGCCAUGGAAACCUUGCAAAGGAGAUUACAAACAACGCUAAAGGAAUAUGUUGAAGGAAAACACUGAUUCAUUCAAUAAAUAAUUAUCGGCCACUCAUUCUGUUCCAAAUUUGGGAAUAAAGCCAAGGAUAUACCUUCCUGGACUUCGCUUUGUACCGAUGAGCUGAUAAAACUGAAGCCCCAACAGUUUGACUUGUCCGAGGUGACAUAGCGAAAACGGGAGUAGGACUCAAGAAUUGGAUCCAAGCCACCGUCUGACCGCCAUAUUGAAAUGCCUAUAUAAUAGACUCUCCCAGAUUCUGGCUCUGCUGAAGAAACCAAACGAAGGUCGAUAGGUUUACAGUCUCCUUCUCUACAAGAAUCUGUUACACCAAUGUCGUUAGUAAAGGCAGCUCUGCUCUCACUGUGGAGGACACAGCGAUCAUGUCUGUCCUAGGCUGCUCUGCUUCUUGCUCAUCAGCCUGGGCUUGCUUUCUCCUGUGCCUCUUGAAGGAUCUAGACAAUUACAGAAAGAACAGCAGGGCAUUACAUUUUCUUGGUAAGGUUAGGGUUUUGAGCUCUCUUUCUCUACUGCCAUGUUGGUCAUCAGCGCUCGCCCCAGCUCCCUGAUGUCCUCCUUGCUCCACGCCAGCAGCCUGGAGGAGUGCUUGCUGUCACAAAGCCUGGAGUCAUGGUCUGCCCCGCCACCUCCCUGGCUGGCUGGGCAACCUCAGAGAGGCCGCUUGACUCUCUGAGUGCUGAUAUCUUUACCUGUAGAAUGAAGAUUGUAUCAUUUGCUUCACCUUCCACGUAAAGAUGUUAUGAGUCUCAAAUCAAAAGAAU